UUGACAUGUUCACAUAUGGAGGAAAGAAGCUGAGCAAUUAGCUGUUAAUCUGCCACAUAUAAUGGACAAAGUUUCAAAUUAGCUCAAGUGAAAGUCUCUACCUGCAGCUCGUGCUGGGGGCCACGGCCUGGAUGUGUCAGUGGGUGGAGUCAGACGCCAGCGCAGAGACCUCCCUAACAUGCUGCCUUAUGAAGAUCAGAUGAUGUCAUAUCCUGCCAUGCAGGGAGGAGGCAGGGCCAAUGACCUGUACUACCAAUCAGAUGACUGGAGGGGGAGGGGCUUGGACCAGGCACUGCAGCGAUUGGUGGAGAGAGACCAGAGGAAGGAGCAGGAAGAGGAGCAGCGAGCGGCCUACCUGGCAGCUCUGCUCCGCCUACUGAGCGAGGCAGAGAGCGCAGGACUGGUCGGUCCGGGUGACGUGGAAGUGGUCGAGGAGGAGGAGGAUGAGGAGGAUGAUCAGGGCCCCACAAGGGACUUCCAGGGUCCUGCUCCUGCAGACUACGAUGAGACUGGAAGGGGGAUGAGCAUGGGGAGGCCCCGGGCCGCCUGGUGGGGCCUUGUGGAGCCCCAGCUUGCUCAGGCCCUGCUUGACAGGAUGGAUCCCCGGCUCGCUCAGACGCUGCUGGAAAGAGCGAAACAGGAGAGACGUCAGCAGGCUGGACGAGUCGCAUCAGGACUGAGCCGAGACCAGGAAACCCUGAGGCGGAUGGUUGCUGGGAUACUCUCCAGCAUCGGUCCUAACGGUGCCUCGGUCGCCUCCUCUGGUCGCAGAGCGAAGAGGGACCUGUCAGCGAAAGCACCUGAGCCUGUUAGCUCCGCCCACAGAAGAACCCGCCGUUCUCUUGACGAUCUGGCUCCCCCUUCACCUAGCAACGACCCUCCCCUCCUCAGGGUGAAGAGGCUGGAGGAUUACGACGGAGAGGAGCAAGGAGAGAAGCUGCACCCCCAGGUGGUCGGGCUGCAGAGGAUGAAACGCAUCGACACUACGUCAACAGGUGACGCAGAGGAACUGAAUCAUGGGAGUCGUAGGCGCCGGAGGAGAGCUGCUCUGAACUACGACCCACAAAUAUUGGUUGAUCAGAUUCUGGAGUACAUGAGGGAGUAAGGAGUAGAGAAAAGAGUAUACGUUGUCAUUCAGGUUUUUAUUUGUGCAUCUUUUUCAUUUGUUCCUGCUGCUUUCGUGAACAUUUAUCAAGUUGUUUGUUGUAAAAAUGAGGAGAAAUGUCAAACAGAUGGAAAAGGAUAAAACGGUUCCGUUUGUGCGAGUCUUUAAAACACUACAUUUCCCAUGAGCCUCAGCAGGCAUUGUUCCAGCACAUUCAAUGAACCAAAAUCUAAAAAUUCACCGGAAUCAAAUUUGUGAAAAGAAACUUCUUUCUCAAGCUCUCCGAUUGGCUGAUAAUCUACUGCAAUGGUCUCUGGGGCUUGUAGUUAGACUCUUCAUUACUGUAAUGUGGUUACAUUGUUACAGGUUCGCCAUUAAAUCGAGCUUCUUUCCUUCAAAAAAGAUGGAGAGAUGGUGGAAAGUGGUAAUAACCUUGGCAAUGGCUCAUCAGCUAUGUGAUCAAUACGUUCUCGUUGUGUUCCUGUACUUCAGCUUGUGAUGAUUCGUCUGUCUGUGGUGAAAUUUUGAUUCAUGUCACACUCAGAAAUAAAGUCGGUAAAGUCGACCUUCA
ensembl:lncRNA